rnacentral:rRNA from 1 species
GACGAACGCUGGCGGCGUGCCUAAUACAUGCAAGUAGAACGCAGUUGCGAACGGGUGCGUAACGCGUAGGUAAUCUGCCUAAUAGCGGGGGAUAACUAUUGGAAACGAUAGCUAAUACCGCAUACUGUGAGAUGGACCUGCUUUGUCUUAGCUAGUUGGUGCGGUAAAGGCUCACCAAGGCGACGAGACAUAGUCGACAGGAGGGGGUGAUCGGCCAGACUGGGACUGAGUCACGGCCCAGACUCCUACGGGAGGCAGCAGUGUGGAAUAUUGCACAAUGGGCGCAAGCCUGAUGCAGCCAUGCCGCGUGUAUGAAGAAGGCCGUCGGGUUGUAAAGUACUUUCAGCGAGGAGCGUUACUCGCAGAAGAAGCACCGGCUAACUCCGUGCCAGCAGCCGCGGUAAUAC